rnacentral:rRNA from 1 species
CAGCAGCCACGGGAAUACCGAGGGUGCGAGCGUUAAUCGGAUUUACUGGGCGUAAAGCGUGUGUAGGUUGUUGUUCAAGUCAGUUGUGAAAUCCCUGGGCUCAACCUGGGAACUGCUUCUGAGACUGAACGACUAGAGUACGGUAGAGGGUGGUGGAAUUUCCAGUGUAGCGGUGAAAUGCGUAGAUAUCGGAAGGAACAUCAAUGGCGAAGGCAGCCACCUGGGCCUGUACUGACACUGAGACACGAAAGCGUGGGGAUCAAACAGGAUUAGAUACCCGUGUAGUCCCUGUCUCUUAUAC